rnacentral:tRNA from 1 species
GGAGAGGUGGCUGAGUGGUUUAAAGCACUCGCCUCGAAAGCGAGCGGGUAGCAAUACCCCGUGGGUUCGAAUCCCACCCUCUCCGCCA